rnacentral:rRNA from 1 species
AACGAACGCUGGCGGCAGGCUUAACACAUGCAAGUCGAGCGCACUCUUCGGAGUGAGCGGCGGACGGGUUAGUAACGCGUGGGAACGUGCCCAGAUCUACGGAAUAGCCUCGGGAAACUGAGAGUAAUACCGUAUACGCCCUUCGGGGGAAAGAUUUAUCGGAUUUGGAUCGGCCCGCGUUAGAUUAGGUAGUUGGUGGGGUAAUGGCCUACCAAGCCUACGAUCUAUAGCUGGUUUGAGAGGAUGAUCAGCAACACUGGGACUGAGACACGGCCCAGACUCCUACGGGAGGCAGCAGUGGGGAAUCUUGGACAAUGGGGGAAACCCUGAUCCAGCCAUGCCGCGUGAGUGACGAAGGCCUUAGGGUCGUAAAGCUCUUUCGCCAGGGAUGAUAAUGACAGUACCUGGUAAAGAAACCCCGGCUAACUCCG